GCUCCGGUGGCCUAGUGGUUAGAGCAUCCGCCUCGGAUGCGGGAGAUCAUGGGUUCGAUUCCAGUCGAGUCA